CUGGAAGUCUCCACACCAGAUGGGGAGAGCAUGGAGGUCUUCACACCAGAUGGGGAGAACAUGGAGGUCUUCAUACUAGAUGGGGCAGCAGAUGUUCAUGAGAUGCUGUGUCAGGGAUCCUGAAAAGCUGACACAGGGCUCUAAGGAGCUCACAGCCUGCAGAAGGAGACAGCCAGACCAACAAUGGGAUCUUUCCUCCCGGAGUGGUGAUGGAAUUUGGAGCCUUCCCCUCUGCAUGGUCAUCGCUGCUGAUCCCUCUCCUGGUGCUGAUGGCCUUGGGCCUGGAGGUGAGCCUGCCGCUGUCGGGGGAAAGGGGUAGUUUUGCUGUGGUGCCUGGGCCACCAGGGCCAGGGAACCACGGGGACGAUGACUCUGGGACUGAGCCCCGAGUGUGUCCAGGAGGCCGCUGAGGCCAGAGCACCUGCCGCCCCUGGACAGGGCCCGGCCCUGGAAAAUACAUGGCACGUCUAGAAGAAGGAAGGCAGCGGAAUCAGGGUUUGCUGGGGUUUGUUUACAUUUGAGAACCCAAGGAUGACAAGCGUCCUGCCUCUUUCCAGGAUGGUGUGGGGGUUGAGGGAGAGGCCACGCACGGGGGUUAGAGGGAUGGCUGGGGGGGGGGGCCUCCUGAUGGGGGCCCCGGGUGCAGACGAAGAACAAUGAGGUUGCUUUGCUUCCUGACCCUGGGCGACUGAACUCGCCUCCAUUCUGCUGAGCACCUCGGCAGAGGGGAAGGACGGCCAUACAGCAGACAUCACGAGCCGCGGGCUCGGAAGCUGGUAUGCGGGCCUGGGGCACCCGGGCGGCCUGGCCUCCUGCCCACGGUUCCUGCGGCCUCGCAGCCUCGCUGGCCGAGGAUCAAACGACACAGACGCGGCUCGGCCGGCAGAGCUGUGGGCAGGGGCCUUCUCCAUGUCCCCGGCCCUCAAACAUGAAAGCAAGCUCCGGAGUGUCAGAAACUCACCACAGAUCAAUAUUUCUCCGCGAUAAGCUGCCUCAUGCCAGUGAGGUAAGAACAUUCCAAGGCACCCAGGCCUUUCUCCAAGCAGGAAGGGGUGGUUUUUACAUUUCGUCCACCUCCGCAUUUCUCGGAAGCUGAAGGACUGUGCUUAGUAGAGGGGAGGAGGCGUGAAUGUCUCCUGGAGCAUCACAGUUUAGGGCGCGGCCAGCAGGGACCGCGGGAGCUGGAGGACACCUCCGAGCCUGUCCCCUGUCCCGUGGGGUCUGACGUUGGUUCAACUCUGCCCGCCCUGCUCCCUGUCAGCUCCGCGAGGCACAUGCUGCUUCCUGGGGAAUCUGCCCCCAGGCGUAUGGCUGGCCUUCAGGGACACAAGCUCGGAUUUGCUUUCUUCUGGCGUGGUGCUUCUGAGCACCCGUUGGUGGGCUUGCGGGCUGCAGCCGCCCGCAGGUGAGGUGUUGAAGAGGAGAGGGGGAGGGCUGCACCUGCGGGGGGAGGGGGUGCCCUGGGAGGCAGUGAGCACACCCGGAGGGGGCCCAGGACCGAUCCAUCCCGGACAGGAUCCACAGCAGAAAGCAGGGACUCCCUCCCAGGCAGAGACAUCAGCAGACCUUGGCUUGGGCUCUGCAGUAUUUUUCUUGGGGAUUGUCAGGGGAAGAUCUUUGUAAACGAUGUGGACUGAGUAGGCGGCAUCUGGCAGAUACUGUAGGGCUUUCUGGGCAAGAGUUCAGUGGAGGGAGGUUAUGGGGUCUGAGAGGGGCCCCUGGCUCCCUGAUCUG